rnacentral:SRP_RNA from 2 species
GCCGGGCGUGGUGGCGCACGCCUGUAAUCCCAGCUACUCAGGAGGCUGAGGCAGGACAAUUGCUUGAACCUGGGAGGUGGAGGUUACAGUGAGCCGAGAUUGAGCCACUGUACUCCAGCCUGGGUGACAGAGCGAGACUCUGUCUUAA